UCUACUAUGCCUUAAACGUGCUGAUGGCC
rnacentral:piRNA from 1 species